rnacentral:tRNA from 1 species
CGGGGCGUGGCGCAGUUUGGUAGCGCACAUGGUUUGGGACCAUGGAGUCGUAGGUUCGAAUCCUAUCGCCCCGACCA